AGAACCGGAGGUUAUAUAAGCUGCGGUCGUCACGUGACGCGCACAGCCGGACUCUGAGUGGACGUCGCCUGAUGGGAGAGCUUUCACGAGAUUGUCAUCCGAUUGUUCUGCUGCACCCCAAAGCCUCCACAGCACAGCACACCACACCACAGCACAGAACAGGCUUUGGCUUUUGUGCUGGAUGGAGAAACUGAGAAGUUUAUAAACAGAAGGCAUGGAAGAAGAGAGCAGGUCCUAAAACAAAGAAAUUCUUCUUAAGGAUAAACCUGAGGUCCUGGGAGUUCUUAGAGGUUCUAAAGUGUUUUUUAUGCAUUUGUUGAUGUCAAAUUUUCAAUAAUAAAUUCAAAUAAAUUCUCAUAGUUUUUACAUUUA